UAGGUCGGACUUGCCGUGGGAAUUCCGUGUCGGUCGUUCGAUAUGCUCUCGCACAGUUUGUUCGUCAACACUGGGAACAUACUCUCCCUGAGCGAAGCGAAACAGAAGGCGAGUCAAAAUUCGACGGAUGAGUUGAUCGAGACGCUGAAGAUCGUUCUAAACGAUGAACAAAGCAAGGGAGAUGACGAGACAAUUAUCAACGGUAAGAAGGAUACGAGUUUACAGGACAUGGAUAGAAAAGACUUGAAGAUCACCGUAAAAGUAUUUAUUUCAUCACCCGAUGUUAAUUCAUUGAAAGAAGCAUUGGAUCAAGCAUUUGAGACACUUCAUACAGAUACUAUAGAAUCACUAGUAAUAGCUUACAAAAGUGCUGAGAGUCCAGAAGAUAUGCUGUCAUCGUUAAAAAAAAUAUGGUCCAUCAUAGAAGAAUACGUAAAAGUUGACAAGCUGUCCAGUGUUGGAUUGAGCGAUAUUAACACAAACACUUUCAUUGAACUGUUCCAGUGGGCUGAUAUAAAACCAAACAUUGUACAGAUUAAUUUAGCUACGUGCUGUGUGGUGCCACCAGCCUUGCAGGAAUUUACUAAAGAAAAUGAUAUUCAGUUGCUAACUCAUAGUGAUCCCUGUCAAAUUCUUCCUCAAGAAGUAUUAGAGAAUAUAUUCGGAUCUACUGCCUAUUUAUACUGGCUGAUAAGAUAUCAAAUUCACCUCAAAUGCCGUGGAAUUUUAUCAUCGAAAGGGUACUUACUGCGCAUUAACAAGUCUAAUGUUAAACCUUAACGUUAGUAGCACCGCUAAAUGUUAUUUCUGCACGAGAUUUACUGGUAUCCGGAGAACCUGGGAUAAUUCUUGCGCCUUGAAAAGAAUCUGUAGGAUAACACGUUAUCUCGACUAUAUCAUGACAGCGAGGAGGGCCG